GUCAGGAUGAACGCUAGCUACAGGCUUAACACAUGCAAGUCGAGGGGCAGCAUGGUCUUAGCUUGCUAAGGCCGAUGGCGACCGGCGCACGGGUGAGUAACACGUAUCCAACCUGCCGUCUACUCUUGGACAGCCUUCUGAAAGGAAGAUUAAUACAAGAUGGCAUCAUGAGUCCGCAUGUUCACAUGAUUAAAGGUAUUCCGGUAGACGAUGGGGAUGCGUUCCAUUAGAUAGUAGGCGGGGUAACGGCCCACCUAGUCUUCGAUGGAUAGGGGUUCUGAGAGGAAGGUCCCCCACAUUGGAACUGAGACACGGUCCAAACUCCUACGGGAGGCAGCAGUGAGGAAUAUUGGUCAAUGGGCGAGAGCCUGAACCAGCCAAGUAGCGUGAAGGAUGACUGCCCUAUGGGUUGUAAACUUCUUUUAUAAAGGAAUAAAGUCGGGUAUGGAUACCCGUUUGCAUGUACUUUAUGAAUAAGGAUCGGCUAACUCCGUGCCAGCAGCCGCGGUAAUACGGAGGAUCCGAGCGUUAUCCGGAUUUAUUGGGUUUAAAGGGAGCGUAGAUGGAUGUUUAAGUCAGUUGUGAAAGUUUGCGGCUCAACCGUAAAAUUGCAGUUGAUACUGGAUAUCUUGAGUGCAGUUGAGGCAGGCGGAAUUCGUGGUGUAGCGGUGAAAUGCUUAGAUAUCACGAAGAACUCCGAUUGCGAAGGCAGCCUGCUAAGCUGCAACUGACAUUGAGGCUCGAAAGUGUGGGUAUCAAACAGGAU
rnacentral:rRNA from 2 species